rnacentral:rRNA from 1 species
UACGUAGGUGGCAAGCGUUGUCCGGAAUUAUUGGGCGUAAAGCGCGCGCAGGUGGUUCCUUAAGUCUGAUGUGAAAGCCCACGGCUCAACCGUGGAGGGUCAUUGGAAACUGGGGAACUUGAGUGCAGAAGAGGAAAGUGGAAUUCCAAGUGUAGCGGUGAAAUGCGCAGAGAUUUGGAGGAACACCAGUGGCGAAGGCGACUUUCUGGUCUGUAACUGACACUGAGGCGCGAAAGCGUGGGGAGCAAACAGG